UCUACCUAGGAGCAAUUCUGUUCCACAUAUCUGACAGAUGAAUCCCAAAUGCCCUACCGGGAGAUGUUCUCCGGGGUUCAGUUAGAGUCAUUGAGUGGGAACGUGUUAAGGUUAAGGUUGUACCUAUCUUCUGAUACUUUAGUAGCAGAAUGUCAGAGCGUAUACUCUGAGCCGUUCUUUACCGAGUUGCCGAGGCUGAUGGCUCUGUCUCAGAGGAGGAGUGUUUAAGUCCUACAGAGUGCACAAGAGAGGCUGUGCUUAAAUUCUCAGUGCCAACCAAACAACAGCAAAGACGCCACAUCAUCAUGACCAGAGGGCUGAUCCACCCAAUCAUGUGGUGGGAAUAAUAAAGUGCUCCAAAGGGGUUGUUUUGAGUAGGGAACGUGUUCUAUGAGUCUGAGGAGAGAGAAGGCAGGGAUGGGUGUGCUAUAUGUGUAUGGGACGGAGAGCCAGGAGGAUUCAUAGGCACACUUCAGGCUAGGAACGACUCUGCAACCCUGUGUCUUGAUGCCAGUGCUCCUGCGACUCUCCCAUUAAUUCCCUGGGACCAAUUUAGAUUUCCUAAUUCUCAAUAUAUAAUCAAAUUACUUCCCCGAAAUUACCGGGUGUGUGUUUGGGGGUUGGGGGAUGCUGUUAUUCCGUAGAGAGUUCGUCCGAGUUAUCGAGUUACUAUUUUCAUCAUAGAAAGUAAAAACGGAGGGGUGUGAGAAUUUACCAAGAGGCACAGGUUUUUGUUUGUUUAUUUGUUGACUCAGGUUUCAUUUCUGGGAACUGGUUCUCUGGAACUGCAUGAUUCAAACACGCUUCCCAACUCUGGAGUUCUGUGCCACAGCUCCUGGACAUCUAAACUUGGAUAUCCUGAUCGCACACGGUAAGAGCAAGAUCUCUAUGCUAUGCCCAUAUGUACCUAGCUGAAGGGGCACGCGGCUAUGAAACCAGAUCAACUAGGAUUCUGACGGUGGACACACUACGUCACCUUUUGGAAUGUCCCCACGACCACUGAAAAUUGAAACAAUUUGUAAACUGUGUGUAUGUGUUUACUUUCCUAAAAUUCUUAUGGCUUACUGGGAGUCUAGCUAAACCAAGGAGUCUCGCUGCAAGCAUCAUGCAGGCCGGGAGGGGGCAGCAGACUCCAGCCAUGCGGUCCCUGGGCCAACACAGCCUGGCGGAGAAGCCAGCCAGUUCAUAGUGUAUUGGCUCCAUUAUUCCAGAGCUGCACCCUAGGCCGAGGAAAGCAGAAGGACAUGGAAUCAAGGACUCCACGUCUCAGGAACCACCUCCUGAGAAGACUAGGCUGAAUACACACUAAGGCGAGUCGCAGCUAGAAAGUGCGCCUGUGCAGUACAGCAUCUAGAGUGAGGGACUGCUCUUGUGCAUCACUGCUUUCUCCGCCUUCUCCAGCUGCUGCAAGGGCUCAAGGGUGCAGAAAUCCACAGACUCUGGGGCUGGGUAAAUGAUUAUCCCUGCCACAUUCAUCAUUCAUGCAGCUCCCAGGAAGAAUGACUGCUCUAUAUUGGACAUAAAUGUACUGACGGAGUAAUUGAAUAAGAAAACCAUUCAGAAGUUGAAGGAAAACAGUUCUUCACAGUUUGAGUGCACACACGUCUGCGUGUAUUUCACUAGAAAGGACACUCUCCAUAAGGAAAGAUUACUUUUGCGUAAGAGAGUUUGACACGAGGGUUUCUACGUGACGCUGUUUGACAAGGAUAUGACAGCUAUUUCAUGACAAUGUUUGGAUACUCCAGCGUCUAAGAAGCUUGUUUUGUUUUAUUGAACAUUAAGAAAAUAUCCGAGGAAGUGAUCGAGAUUGAGGUUUUAACUCAACUAGAUGGCAUCCCAGCAAUUCCUCAUGAGUCAUGUCUAUAUGAAUUAACACAGAAGCCUUAGAAAACAUGUUACCCUCCCAAUAAGUACGGUCAACAUUUAGUCAAAAUACUUCAUUGUUGCAGAGCUUUCUGAGGCUGGCUUUGUGGGUACAGUGUAUCCAUAGCUGACUGAAUUAACUGAAGAUCUUCUUCGCUGAUUCUACACAUUUCUCAUCAUCAAAAGGCUUCCUCUGGCUGCCAGGCUGAAGAAAUUUCUUCACUGUGGGGAGGUUGCUGAC